rnacentral:ncRNA from 1 species
GACGACCGGCCGAACACGUACGUGUCCGGCCCACAAGUGGAGGCUCCGAUCUCCCACCUGACCGUCCUGAGGGACGGCGGGUCACCGGUCAGACGAUCGUCACCGAUCCGUACGUCCCCGUACGGUCGGCGCAGUCGUCCGAAAGCGCGCCCCGCGGUCGACCGCGGCGGUGCUCCGGCCCUUCGGAGUCCCGCCUGUGUCCCGUCGGGGCAUUUUUG